rnacentral:vault_RNA from 1 species
GGGUCGGCCUUAGCUCAAGCGGUUACUUCGCAUCUGGUUCAUACCUCAUAAUCCCUUCGGGGGUUCGAGACCCGCGGGUGCUUUCUGACCCUUUU